AAAUUGAAGAGUUUGAUCAUGGCUCAGAUUGAACGCUGGCGGCAGGCCUAACACAUGCAAGUCGAGCGGAAACGACACUAACAAUCCUUCGGGUGCGUUAAUGGGCGUCGAGCGGCGGACGGGUGAGUAAUGCCUAGGAAAUUGCCUUGAUGUGGGGGAUAACCAUUGGAAACGAUGGCUAAUACCGCAUAAUGCCUACGGGCCAAAGAGGGGGACCUUCGGGCCUCUCGCGUCAAGAUAUGCCUAGGUGGGAUUAGCUAGUUGGUGAGGUAAUGGCUCACCAAGGCGACGAUCCCUAGCUGGUCUGAGAGGAUGAUCAGCCACACUGGAACUGAGACACGGUCCAGACUCCUACGGGAGGCAGCAGUGGGGAAUAUUGCACAAUGGGCGAAAGCCUGAUGCAGCCAUGCCGCGUGUAUGAAGAAGGCCUUCGGGUUGUAAAGUACUUUCAGUUGUGAGGAAGGGUGUGUAGUUAAUAGCUGCGCAUCUUGACGUUAGCAACAGAAGAAGCACCGGCUAACUCCGUGCCAGCAGCCGCGGUAAUACGGAGGGUGCGAGCGU
rnacentral:rRNA from 1 species